rnacentral:rRNA from 1 species
UACGGAGGAUCCAAGCGUUAUCCGGAUUUAUUGGGUUUAAAGGGUGCGUAGGCGGCUUAUUAAGUCAGGGGUGAAAGACGGUGGCUCAACCAUCGCAGUGCCUUUGAUACUGAUGGGCUUGAAUGAACUAGAGGUAGGCGGAAUGAGACAAGUAGCGGUGAAAUGCAUAGAUAUGUCUCAGAACACCGAUUGCGAAGGCAGCUUACUAUGGUUUUAUUGACGCUGAGGCACGAAAGCGUGGGGAUCAAACAGG